GAUGAAGAACGUAGCGAAAUGCGAUAAGUAAUGUGAAUUGCAGAAUCCAGUGAAUCAUCGAACCUUUGAACGCACAUUGCGCCCGCCAGCAUUCUGGCGGGCAUGCCUGUUCGAGCGUCAUUUCAACCCUCGACCUCCCCUUGGGGAGGUCGGCGUUGGGGACCGGCAGCACACCGCCGGCCCUGAAAUGGAGUGGCGGCCCGUCUGCGGCGACCUCUGCGUAGUAAUACAGCUCGCACCGGAACCCCGACGCGGCCACGCCGUAAAACACCCAACUUCUGAACGUUGACCUCGAAUCAGGUAGGACUACCCGCUGAACUUAAGCAUAUCAAUAAGCGGAGGA
rnacentral:misc_RNA from 1 species